GAUGGACGCUGGCGGCGUGCCUAAUACAUGCAAGUCGAGCGAACAGACGAGGAGCUUGCUCCUCUGACGUUAGCGGCGGACGGGUGAGUAACACGUGGAUAACCUACCUAUAAGACUGGGAUAACUUCGGGAAACCGGAGCUAAUACCGGAUAAUAUAUUGAACCGCAUGGUUCAAUAGUGAAAGACGGUUUUGCUGUCACUUAUAGAUGGAUCCGCGCCGCAUUAGCUAGUUGGUAAGGUAACGGCUUACCAAGGCAACGAUGCGUAGCCGACCUGAGAGGGUGAACGGCCACACUGGAACUGAGACACGGUCCAGACUCCUACGGGAGGCAGCAGUAGGGAAUCUUCCGCAAUGGGCGAAAGCCUGACGGAGCAACGCCGCGUGAGUGAUGAAGGUCUUCGGAUCGUAAAACUCUGUUAUUAGGGAAGAACAAAUGUGUAAGUAACUAUGCACGUCUUGACGGUACCUAAUCAGAAAGCCACGGCUAACUACGUG
rnacentral:rRNA from 1 species